rnacentral:rRNA from 1 species
GAAACGGUAGCUAAGACCGGAUACGCAAUUUUCUCGCAUGAGGGAAUUGGGAAAAGCGGAGCAAUCUGCUGCUCAUGGAUGGGCCUGCGGCGCAUUAGCUAGUUGGUGAGGUAACGGCUCACCAAGGCGACGAUGCGUAGCCGACCUGAGAGGGUGAUCGGCCACACUGGGACUGAGACACGGCCCAGACUCCUACGGGAGGCAGCAGUAGGGAAUCUUCCGCAAUGGACGCAAGUCUGACGGAGCAACGCCGCGUGAGUGAUGAAGGUUUUCGGAUCGUAAAGCUCUGUUGCCAGGGAAGAACACUAAGGAGAGUAACUGCUCUUUAGGUGACGGUACCUGAGAAGAAAGCCCCGGCUAACUACGUGCCAGCAGCCGCGGUAAUACGUAGGGGGCAAGCGUUGUCCGGAAUUAUUGGGCGUAAAGCGCGCGCAGGCGGUCUUGUAAGUCUGGUGUUUAACCUUGGGGCUCAACCCCAAGUCGCACUGGAAACUGCAAGACUUGAGUGUAGGAGAGGAAAGUGGAAUUCCACGUGUAGCGGUGAAAUGCGUAGAGAUGUGGAGGAACACCAGUGGCGAAGGCGACUUUCUGGCCUAUAACUGACGCUGAGGCGCGAAAGCGUGGGGAGCAAACAGGAUUAGAUACCCU